UACGAAGGGUGCAGGCGUUAAUCGGAAUUACUGGGCGUAAAGCGUGCGCAGGCGGCUUCCUAAGUCAGAUGUGAAAUCCCCGGGCUUAACCUGGGAACUGCGUUUGAAACUGGGAGGCUAGAGUGCGGCAGAGGGAGGUGGAAUUCCACGUGUAGCAGUGAAAUGCGUAGAUAUGUGGAGGAACACCGAUGGCGAAGGCAGCCUCCUGGGCCAGCACUGACGCUCAUGCACGAAAGCGUGGGGAGCAAACAGG
rnacentral:rRNA from 1 species